GCCUUCGCGGUGCAGUGGUCAGUACGCUCGGCGGGUAUUCGAGAGGUCCGUGGUUCGAGUCCCGGCGAGGGCA
rnacentral:tRNA from 1 species